CGAAUUUGCUAACAAGGUUGGUCGAUUUUUUCAAGCCGUCGCGCAGUGUACCUAGAAGUACACGAGCAACGGAAGUUAAAAAAUCGGGCAAGAUUGAACGCAAAGGCAAGCGGGACAUUUGAGGAUGGGGUGACUGCGUACCUUUUGUAUAAUGGGUCAGCGACUUAUAUUCUGUAGCAAGGUUAACCGUAUAGGGGAGCCGUAGGGAAACCGAGUCUUAACUGGGCGAAUGAGUUGCAGGGUAUAGACCCGAAACCCGGUGAUCUAUCCAUGGGCAGGUUGAAGGUUGGGUAAAACUAACUGGAGGACCGAA
rnacentral:rRNA from 1 species